CAGUCGCCGCGGUAAUACGAAGGGUGCAAGCGUUACUCGGAAUUACUGGGCGUAAAGCGUGCGUAGGUGGUGGUUUAAGUCCGUUGUGAAAGCCCUGGGCUCAACCUGGGAAUUGCAGUGGAUACUGGGUCACUAGAGUGUGGUAGAGGAUAGUGGAAUUUCCGGUGUAGCAGUGAAAUGCGUAGAGAUCGGAAGGAACAUCUGUGGCGAAGGCGACUAUCUGGACCAACACUGACACUGAGGCACGAAAGCGUGGGGAGCAAACAGGAUUAGAUACCCGCGUAGUCCCUGUCUCUUAUAC
rnacentral:rRNA from 1 species